GACGAACGCUGGCGGCGUGCUUAACACAUGCAAGUCGAACGGAAAGGCCUUUUCGGAGGUACUCGAGUGGCGAACGGGUGCGUAACACGUGGGUGAUCUGCCCUGCACUCUGGGAUAAGCCUGGGAAACUGGGUCUAAUACCGGAUAGGACCGCACUUUAGUGUGUGUGGUGGAAAGUUUUUUCGGUGUAGGAUGAGCCCGCGGCCUAUCAGCUUGUUGGUGGGGUAAUGGCCUACCAAGGCGGCGACGGGUAGCCGGACUGAGAGGUUGGUCGGCCACAUUGGGACUGAGAUACGGCCCAGACUCCUACGGGAGGCAGCAGUGGGGAAUAUUGCACAAUGGGCGCAAGCCUGAUGCAGCGACGCCGCGUGGGGGAUGACGGCCUUCGGGUUGUAAACUCCUUUCGCCAGGGACGAAGCGUUUUGUGACGGUACCUGGAGAAGAAGCACCGGCUAACUACGUG
rnacentral:rRNA from 1 species